UCACGUUCUUAACCUCGGCUGGCUCAUCAAUGGACAGGUUACUCAUGCAGAUGGACAAAAUGUCAGUAACCAACAGAGUCUGCUCACUGGACGGAAAAUUAUUUAGUGAGUUUUGUUAGAAUGCAUUUGAAUUUUAUUACCUGUUUGCGUUUUCGAAACAUUCCAACAGCUCCGGUGACUUGAGAAAGUUCUGCGACAACUCCGAGUUAUUGGCAGUGAUCAGUGUGCUUUUAAUCUCUGUCAAUGCGAUGUUUCGUGUUUGCUCAAGCUGUAAAUUUGCUAGCAAUUCUCGGCACUGAUUCUCAUCCAUUGUGAAUUAUUAAAAAAGCUCAGAUGGGGGCUUGUUUAUCGGAUCAGAAGCAAAAUAGAAUAAAGCACGCAACGAUACCUGUAUUGCGAAAGAAUGAGUAAGCGGUAAAUCAAAACAAAAACAUUCUGCUUUUUUACACAACAUAGGCGGCAUAGACCAUUUUACGAGACGUUUCUGAGCUGAAAUCAUUAAAGAAAUUUUGACAGAAAGCUCGGAACCGCUGACAUAAUGCACGCAAAAGCAACAUCAGCAGGACCCGUGACACCUGUCAGUUCGUAAAAUGGUAUAUUCCAUGGUGACGUCACAAAAAAAGAAAAAGAAUGAGAUUUGACAGUGGUCGCGGUUUGUUUACGUGGACUUGUAAAAUUUUAUACUCGAGUGAAAAUGCAGAAUUGUGUUGUUCAAAAUUGCUUUACUGCCUGGUAGUAACGAAUUCGAAUAGGCGGAGAGUUGUCUGAUUUUUUUCGUACUCGUAUCACAUCGUGCCACUCGAUGGCAAGCUCAUCGGCCAGAAAAAGAACGAUUCUUUUGAAGUAUUGCUUAGUAGGCAAUAAUGCCGCUGGUGUCGCUAUAAGCAAGCGUGCACAUUCAUUAUCAAAGACAAAAACCGUCAGUAAUGCCACUGGUUUUGAUUUGAGUGAGCGUGCAAACCCAUUAGCAAACACAAAGACCUUUUUACGAAAAUAAGUUAGUAGGCAGAGGGGAUUCACUGCUGUCAAAUUUCAUAUAUGUGUGCGUUAUCGCAGAUCAGCUCUGGUCCAUGACGUUUGUUGGUCCGUGACGUUUGUAACUAUGAACGAUAAUGAGGAAAAAAUCACUACACAACACAUUCAUAAAAGUUUUCCGAGGUUUCUCGAGUUUUGAUAAAAAAAAACGUUCCAAUUCUAUAAUAUUUCAAAUCGAUCAAUUUCAUAACCAAAAAGAACAAAAACCAAAACAAACACCAUUUUGCCGAAUAUGCUGGUUACACGAUGUUUGACAGAUAGAUCCCCCCUGUUAGUAGGCAAUGCAUUUGACUUUAAAACCUACGUGUAACACAUAGACUAUGGCGAACACUGGUAACUGUUUUGUUUUUCUGCACAUACUCGAAACGACAUGUUCCACAUAAAGGUCCCAAUUCGUAAGUUUAUGUAAAUAUGAGCCAUAUGAGUAAAUAACCUGAGUUUGUAGCCAAACAUUCAAAAAUUGUAUCAUCAUUGCAACCUCUACUACAACUACACUAUACUGUAUCUGUAAGAUAAAUAAAAAGCAAGCAAGUAUCCGCACAGUUCACUCUCAAACACAUUCACACACCCAAGCGAGGUAUGAAACGUGAGGUGAAUCUGAUAGAAACAUGUACGUUGGUCAGAAAUAAAAAUUAAAAAACAAAUUGAAGAAAAAAAAAAAUUCUAGGAAAAACCUUGAAAUAGUGAAAAAUGAAUAUUAAAAAAAAGUAUUAUAGAUGAAGCAUGUCAAUUUCCUGCUCUGUAAUGGAAUUUGUUUUUCUAUUUAGACAAAGACCAACGUUUGAUAGUUGUCUACCCCUACUAGUAAAAACAUAAUUUGAUUACAUACCGUUAAUCAAAGCACAAGAGAAUUGCAAGUUGCAGGACGACAACAUAGAAUUCGAUUAUCGGGUAAAAUUUCGUGGUUCACAUCUUCUGCACGCAUAGCGCCACGCUAUUUGCAUUUUCAACACACCUUAGUACAUGUGGCUUUAAAUGGUCGACGCAUGUUUUUUAUACGUUUUCAUUGUGCAAUUUCUUCGUAAAACGCUCGUGUAAAAGUUAAGUGGUAACAUAAAGUGACCGGCGACGCUACAUUUAUACUUAAAAAAAACAACCUUUAACCAAGUCCACACAAGCGGAGUUUUGUUGGUCGAUUGACCCUCUCAUAGAACAUGGCCUGACAGUCGGACAAGACAAAUGUCGUUUAAUUUUUCGUUCCUUAUAUAGCAUGGAAGUUGGGUGUUUCACAAACGAGUUCUUGUUUAAACAAGAGAAAAAUGUUUCAUACAAAUGAAGGCAAACAAUAAAUACAAAAAGAAUUAAAAAAAUCAGAAAAUAAACAAAAACGAUUUAAGAAGCAAACCGUUGUUAAUCUGGGGACGUCUGCGUUGAUUUCUGCUAUUUUUUAUGUAUUAUAAUUCUUUUAAAAUUA